UACAGAGGGUGCGAGCGUUGUCCGGAAUCACUGGGCGUAAAGGGUGCGUAGGUGGCUUGGUAAGCGUGUGGUGAAAGCCCGGGGCUCAACCCCGGGUCUGCCGUGCGAACUGCCAGGCUCGAGCAUAGUAGAGGCGGGUGGAAUUCCGGGUGUAGCGGUGGAAUGCGUAGAUAUCCGGAAGAACACCGGUGGCGAAGGCGGCCCGCUGGGCUAUUGCUGACACUGAUGCACGACAGCGUGAGGAGCAAACAGG
rnacentral:rRNA from 1 species